GUGUGUUCCAAGAAUGGUCCACCGCUCAAAGGACAUCCAGCCAACUUGACACAACUGUGGGAAGCAUUGGAGUCAACAUGAGCCAACAUCCCUGUGGAACGAUUUCGACACCUUGUUGAGUCCAUUCCCAAACCAAUUGAGUCUGUUCUGAGGGCAAAAGGGGGGUGCAACUCGAUAUUAGACCUACAUCAGCUCUAUCUCCCAGAUGAGGUUUCUCCUGAGCAGCAGCACUGUGAGCAGGAGUGGAGCCCCAGUCUGAAGCAAGAGGACCCAGAGCCCUCACAGAUUAAAGAGGAACAUGAAGUCUGGACCAGUCAAGGGGGAGAACAGCUUAAAGAGCUAGAGUCUGAUACCAAAGAGUUAAUAUUCACUCCCUCUGUGGAAAAUCUGGAACCACCUCAGACCUCACAUCUUUUCCAAAUGCAAAUUGUGGUCUCACCCACCAGUACAACUAAAGAGAUCAAGAUGAAACCAUGUCACAUUGGUGAAAGCUCUUCUUGUCAUGUUUGUGGUAAAUGUUUUGACUGUAAAUCUGGUCUGGAAAGGCAUAUGAGAGCUCAUACUGGCGAAAAACCUUAUUGCUGCAGUGAAUGUGGCAAAUGCUAUAGUCAGAUAGGAAAUCUGACAGUGCAUAAGAGGGGACACACAGGGGAGAGAUCAUACAGAUGCUUUUUGUGUGGAGAAUACUUCAUCACAGCAUCCCAAUUAAAAUAAUAAUAAAAUAAAAUAAUAAAAUAAAAUAUAAUCACUCACACGCAGGGGAGUAAUAUAAUCCCGGGGCCAUCCAAAACCAAAUCUCGUUUGUGCACUGGUAACAGUCGUGAAACGAGGGAGGGACCGUAUCAGUGCAAGGAAUGUGUUAAAUCCUUCAGGCAGAAGAGGAACCUGUUACGGCAUAUGAGGAAUCACACAGGAGCAAUUAAUGCAGCAAAUGCUUCAACUGGAGUGGGAAAAAAAAAUAUUACAUGAUUUACAGAGGAGGAAAUGUAUUUUGUGUCCACAUUUUAAUGCUCCAGCAACGAAUUCAAAGAAGUGACAUCACAUCAGUGCAAGAACUUCAGAAAAUGGUUUAGAAAGAUUGGAUUUGGAUAUCUUGAAAAGUAAACGAGAAACACCUUAUUCACCAGAGGGAGGAAAUUUGAACGUGUCAUUUGUUUGGAUCACUAUGAGUUGACUAAUGGACUUGUAGAACAUUAUCAAAUUAUUACAUUAUCACAUUUGUUGUUUUUGGCGAGGAUAUUUAGGAUUUGUAUGCAGUCUCUAACUUUUGUGAAUAAAAGUUGUACAGCUGUA